rnacentral:lncRNA from 1 species
AUUAGGAUUACUCAUGUAAGAAAGCAUCAAUUUGUUCCUCUAUUUUGUACAUUUUUCUCUUAAAGUAUAUGUUCAAAUAUUUAGUUGACAAAGAAAAUGUUUAUAGAAAGAUCAUGAUCAAAAGUAAAUGUUUGGGCUCUGAAAUUAUUUACCUUAAAAUGUUGUCCAAUUUUGGAGAAAGAGGGGAUAUAGGUGUGUAAAAAUACUUUACUUCUUGAAAGAUUCUCUCUUCUGUGAUUUAUUGUUUGGAAGCGCAUAAAAAUGAAAGGUCAGUAGUAUUAUUGCAUUUUAUCAUUUUUAUUGGCUACUGACUUUAAAGAAUCUUGGACGAUAAUCCAGAAUUGUAUUUUCAAUAUUUUUGCUAUCUAUUCUUUAUUUGGAUUGGAUGCUAGUGCAUGUGUACUGAGUUAUAACUUGUUUUUAUUUGUGAAUUCAAUUCAUUUUCUUUUUUUCCUGCAGGGUAUUUUUGGUUGUAAUAGUUGGAAUUCGGUCACAAUUAGUCACUCUGUUUUAGAGGAGUUGAGUCUGCUUGUGGACAGAGGUCAUUUAAGGCCUGUCGUUGAUAGAGUUUUUUCUCCACAACAUGCUGAUCAAGCAAUACAUUAUGUGGACUCGCUUCUAGCAUUUGGAAAAACUGUCAUUCGAUUCAGUCAUGGUGAUGGAAGUGGUGCAUCAACAAAAUCUGAAGCAUUUGGUUGAACUAAAAUCUAGGAAUGUCCGUUUUCUUUCUUUCAUCGAUUUGCGCCGUCCAAAAUCAAACUUGUAGUAAGUUUUCAUAGUCACCUCAACAUUUUCAGGCAUUGAUGAUAGUACAUUUUUUGUACAAUUCAUCAAGUAGAACAUAUUACAUGAGAGAAAGAGUGGUUAUCAACUUGAAAGUUUUGGGAAAUUAUAUUCUUUACUUGUUUUUAUUGUAUCUCUUGUUGGUACUAAAAGAAAUUUGAGAUACUGCUAAAAUUAGUUUCAAUACAGAUUUUUCUCUCAAACAUUUAUGAAUGUGAAGAAGAUCAUACAUUUGAAUCAGGAGCUUAUUCCAUUUAAUUUUCAUUUAUUUUUAGCUCAGUCCUUUCAGCUGUUUUAAUUUUCUGAAUAGAAAUUAUGUUCAAUCACUACGUAUAGUCAGUAGCCAUCAGUACUUGUUUUGAAGUCAGAAUUGCCCCUCAUUAUUUCUUUGAGAAUUUUUUAUUUAUUCUAUCUAGGAAUAACGUUAUUUUUCCAUAAAUGGUGAAAAUAUGCAAGCUCAAAUGCAUCAACCUGUCAAUUAUUGUUUGAGAAAUUCCUUAGCAUUAAAGGGUUUUAAGGUCCAUUUUGAAUUUCAUCAAAAUGCAGCCUCAAUAUUUCUAUAGUAAUAACUUUGAUGGUAACUGACUAGGAAUAAAAGUAGAUGGAGUUUAGAAAUGUAAAUUUUUAAAAAUGGAAGAAAUUAUAUGCCAUUGUAUUUUGCCAUGUUUCAGGAAAAAUGUUGAAAUAUUUUUGUAGGAUUCUUUUAGUCCUUUUGCCAACUAAUUGCUCUAAAUUUCAAUAAUGAAGACUUCCUUUGUACUAAAAAUUGCAACGGAUGCAUGGUUGAGUGACACAUUAAUCGAUGGAGGUGCACAAUUUCCUAUUGGAACUAAUUUACCUGCUGGUAUCUACUUCCAUAUCAUGGUGCUUUAUGAUAGAGACUUAUUAAAAUUAAGGGAAGAAUUUUAAGUGUCAUAUCUGCAACUUUGAAUCUUUUUUCUGCAUCUGUUUCCUGUAUUUUUCUCCUUUAUUGAAGAGGUGAGGAAGCAGCUGAGCAGUAUUUCCAAUUUUUUAAAUUUUCCAAUUUUUAUCUAUUAUUAAGUGCUCUGAGAAGGAAUAUCACAGAUGCUCUCUUGACUUAAUACAUUUUAAAGUUUUAAGUAUUUAUUACAAAAAUAUAUGAUAUUUCAAAACUUGAAACCAAACUACAAAACUGUAUCAGAAGAAAACAACUUCAAUUAUUGUAUAAGAAUUCUUUCAGCAACUCAACUUCUAUGGAUUGCAUUGAUUCUGUUGAAAUUUUUUGAGGUAGUCAUUUGGGCAGAAUACCGAACUUGGGAAAUCUAUACCUAGUGUUAAUUUGUGGCAUUUUUGUGACUGUACCCUCUUUUAAAUUCGACCUAUAGGCCACGCCAUCACAAUUGCCAGGGAGGGGGAGGGGGUGAAUGAGUCAAUGUACCUAAGCUUUAAUUUUUGAACAAUUCCAGUCACUGACUCUGCCCCUCACCUGUCAUUUUUCAUGGUGUGGAGUUAUUUCUGUAGGAAACGAGAGGGAAAAAGGAAGUAAAAAUGAGGAUGGAAAAAUAAACUUCGAAAAAGAUCUGUUAGAAAAUAGUAUGAUGGCAAAACAAUCACAUGAAAGUUUUUUAUGAGAAUUAAAUUUUCAAAUAUAUGUGUGCGUUUUUACCGGAGACAAGAGACCCCCCACUGGUCUCAUGGUGACAGGUGGAAGCUUUUACUUUCAAGGAUUCAAAACUUCCCUAUGGACAAUUAUAAGGGAGCAACGGUCAUCACUCUUUUUCAGUUAUUGACCCAACUCCUAGGUGGAUGAUGUGUAUUGGGUGAUGUUGUGAGCCAAUCAAGUUUCUUAAACUUCGCUUUGUUUGCGAAACGAAACUCCCAACACCCUGUUAACCAUCAACUUAGUAGGUAGGUCAACAGUUGAAUGUUGAAGUCCGGAAAGUAAAAGCUUCCACCAUUGCAGAGAUACGAGUGGAGGGUCUCUUGUCUCUAGUAUUUAUCUGUCAAGGAUAAUUUUUUAUGGGACUUAAUCAAAUGGAAAGUUACUGCAGCAAGCUGAUUAUUUUUUAGUGUUUGCUCAUUUUUUUUCACCAGAUUUUUGUAAACAAAAGAUGAUCAUUGUGUACAUUUUCAAUUGAGACCCCUGUCUCAAAAAUUAUUUCAAAAACAUUUUUAAUAAUAAUUUUAAAUAAAUGUGUACCUAUUCUCAAUAUUUUUAACAGAAUUUUCAGACCAUUCAAAUCCUAUUGCACUCUCUGAGGACAAGGUUUGACCGUGGUGGUCUUUUUAAAACUCUCUAAUUAUUGUCUCAUUUACAGUCUCAUUUAGGCUAUCUCGACAAAGUACAUAUUACCUAGUUGCCAAAAAUGACCAAAAUUAUAAUUUAAGAUUAGUAGGAAGUAGGUACUUGUACUUGUAAAAUUUCUGAUUCUGCUAUAUCCAGGAAAAGAAUCUUGUAAGUUGUGUUUAGGUGAAUAAAAGAAACAAAUUUUAUUUGUUGUCUAAUUAUUUACUCAUCUUAUGGUUUUGAUUGACGCAUGAUUGAAAUCCUUAUAAAACACAUUUUACAUGAAUUUUUUUCUUUAUAAUGUUUUUAAGAACUCAUAAAAAAUUAGCACUUUAGAGGGACUUUUAAAAGUAAUUUAGGAAAUUACUUACUACUACGAGGAAUAAUGUAGGAAAUUACUGUAAUUUAAUUGCAAAAUACAAUGAAUAAACCAAUUUCAUGACUAAUUCAACAUUACACCGGUGUUACAUUUGGUAAAAUUUUUUAAACUUUUGCUCAAUUUGUGAAAGUUUUCCAUUAAAAACCAUUGAGAACCACCAUAUCCAAGGAGAGUUUGUUAAAACUCAUUUUCCUAUUUUUUUAACCGCCCCUUAUUUUGCAAAUCCAGACUUCCGUCAUGAAUAACAUCAUUCUGAGUAUCCCCUUCCCUUAUUCUAGAGGACUUUUGCCAAGGUGCGUCCCAAAAAUUAUGCAGUUUUAACAGUUAGUUAGGUCUGUAACGACAUACCGCAGAUCUGACUCUGUUUUUUUGUAACACGCCAUUGAAGGCUCUUCAUAAUGUAGAUUAUGCAUUCCUAAUUAAAAGGUCAAAGUCAGAAACCACGCAUCUCCAUUCCGAUGUUUCAACAUGUCCUUUCCUAUUUAUUUUUUCGAAGAGAUACAAACAUUGCUGGAUUUACACACAGUGGCCGUGGCCUAGGGCGGCUAAUUCUGAGGGGCCGCAAAAAAUUUAGAAAGGGAAAAACAGGGAUAGGGCGCUGCCGCUAACACCGUGCGGCGCGGCAACAUAGCGAUCCAGUCCAGAAGAAUCAGGUGCAAGAUGAUGACUAAUGAAGGCUGCAUAAUACUUGAUGGGAAAUUCUGAAACUCUGCAUAAAAAAUGUGUUGAGUGCAUAAUUUAUGAACGGCAGGACCAACCCCCCGGGCAACAUUCGUGGGUGGCGAAUAAAGCUUGACAGAUUGGGGGCGGCAUUUCCGUAAAUCCGGCCAAGCUUCAUGGGCCGAAUUUUGUCGGUUCUUCCACCGUACUUUAAUAUACUUAGGACGGGUCUCGACUGCACUUAAGUUCGGCUUAGCGCCUCUGAUUGGCCGAUGGUGCGGUUUGAACUCAUCGAUGGAUGUUGCACUCCGUGUGAAAAAGCCGACAAAAUUCGGCCCCAGAGUUCGAACAGUUGGGCCCUUGAUUUCCACAUUCAACGGAGAGCAUUAUGCCUACCUACAUUCAUAAACGUCAGUAGUUCGUGACAGGUGAAUAGCUAUGAUUUUCCUUCCUUUUCGCGUGAUACCACAUCACAUACCUACUCAGGAGGCUGAACAGUUGCGCGUAUGAUGGGUCCAUUUCCACAGCCCCCCCACAUACGAAUCUUAAAUAAAAAAUUAUAUCAUAAUUUUGUGCUAUUUUGUGCCGCAAAUUAAAAUUUUGUGCUGCAAAAUUAAGGGGGGAAACGCUCCUCAAAAUUGGGGGGGCUGUAGAAACGG